rnacentral:rRNA from 1 species
UGGGGAUAUUGCACAAUGGGCGAAAGCCUGAUGCAGCGACGCCGCGUGGGGGAUGAAGGCUUUCGGGUUGUAAACCUCUUUCGCUAUCGAACAAGGCCCGCUUAGGGUGGGUUGAGGGUAGGUGGAGAAGAAGCGCCGGCUAACUACGUGCCAGCAGCCGCGGUAAUACGUAGGGCGCGAGCGUUGUCCGGUAUUAUUGGGCGUAAAGGGCUUGUAGGCGGCUUGUUGCGCCUGCUGUGAAAACGCGGGGCUUAACUUCGCGCGUGCAGUGGGUACGGGCAGGCUUGAGUGUGGUAGGGGUGACUGGAAUUCCAGGUGUAGCGGUGGAAUGCGCAGAUAUCUGGAGGAACACCGAUGGCGAAGGCAGGUCACUGGGCCAUUACUGACGCUGAGGAGCGAAAGCAUGGGUAGCGAACAGG